UAGGUGACGUAUAGGAAACAUUUUGUUGUGACAGUCAUGUGACUAUCCCAGGAUAUGGCUUCCCCAAAAUGGCAGUGUGUCAGGUACAAAACAUUUUGGAGUGGCUGUCGUGACUAUCCCAGGAUCUGGUUUACCCAAAAUGGCGGCAUAUUAGAAAACAAGCUACAAAACAUUCUGGAGUAGUUGUCAUCCGAGUAUGACAGGAUCUGGUUUACCCAAAAUGGCGGCAUAUUAGAAAACAAGCUACAAAACUUUCUGGAGUAGUUGUCAUCCGCGUAUGACAGGAUCUGGUUUAUCCAAAAUGGCGGCAUAUUAGAAAACAAGCUACAAAACAUUCUGGAGUAGUUGUCAUCUGAGUAUGACAGGAUAUGGGUUCCCCAAAAUGGCGUCCUACCAGACCUCUCCUCCCCGACAAGCUCCGAUCUCUCUGACCUGGCGUCUGCAUCCCCCUCGGACUUCUCUUUCCUCUCCGAGCGGUCGGCAUCCAUGCCGGAGGUGACGGGCUUGUCCCACAUGGCCAUGGCCUCAUGCUCAGAUAUACAGGUGGUGAUGCUGGAAGUCCAAGCCUUCAGAUCCUCCUGCAGAGACCAGCAACACAGAGUGGUCCAUCUGAGGGUCCGAGCGACUUCCACGAGGAUCCCUCUGGAGACGGCCAUGGAGGAGCUCCAGUCCUGACUCCGGCCCCAUCAUGUCUGCCAUCGGGAUAUCGCCAUACUGCUCCCGCUGUACUCUGCUGGCCUCGAGGAGAGGAUUUACAGCCUUGUGGAUGUGAUUAAUCCUGGGUUGCAUGAAGUCCGCUUUCAGGUGUUGCCAUGCGUAGGCCAUUUUUGGGUCCAUGAUGCCACCACUUGGUGCUAGGUAACCAGAACUACCUAGACUUCCACUGCUAUAAUGAUUUUGUGCAAGAUAGCCGGAGCUACCCAUUCCUCCACUGCUAUGAUAAUUCUGCGCUAGGUAUCCACAACUCCCUAAAUUGGGCUGCGGGGCGAGAUAUCCUGAACUCCCUAAAUUGGGCUGCUGUCCCAAGUACCCAGAACUCCCCAUGUUUUGUGGUUGCGUUAAAUACCCCGAACUUCCCAUGUUUUGUGGUUGCGUCAAGUAAGAACCUCCCACGUUUUGUUGUAUCAAAUAGCCAGAACUUCCCAUAUUCUGCUGGGUUAGAAACCCAGGAGUCCCCAUUCCUCCACUACUUUGCUCCUGAGUCAGGUUACCCAAACUUCCUAAUCUGCUACUUCCUGGUUGACUUGGCAUCGAGUAGCCAGAACCGCCCACACAACCGGGAGACAGCCCAUAGUACCCAGAACUCUCUGCAGUGUCACUUUUUUGAUUAUUUAUCCCAAGAUAAGUCGAAUGGUCCGGGCCUCCACAAUGAGAUGGUAACGCUGAAAAAGCAGAGUCACUUCCGCCUCCGAUGGCCUGGUGAUUCAUCCCGAGGAAGGAGGAGCUCACCAACUUUCCACUACACUGCGGCUCCAGUCCAUGAUAGCCUGACCCAUUUAUGACUGGGUUGUAGCUGGUAAGCGUUGAGGACAAUCUCUGGCUUGCAUUGCUGGCGCCCAGUUCCACACUGGUCUGUAAUGGUGUUGGUUCUAUUUGGGCCUGUACCAUCUGUCUCAUGAAAGAUGGAGUUGAACUGGGUGAAGGACUCGAUGGAGUCAGGCAUGAUAAUGGGAACAUCCUUCGACUGGAGAGUGGCGUCUUUUUCUCUUCCUCUUUUUUCUUCUCUGCCUGGAAAAUAGAUUUAAAAUAAUUAAGAGAACAUAAAACAAAAGCAAGAUAGGUCUGAUGCAAUGCAAUUAUUCAGAAUAUUUUAUAUAAAACAAACAGGGUGUGAUGGAUCCAUCCACCAUCAUGGUAAUGGUACUGGUAAUGGUUUUAUUUCAUUUGAACAUGCAUCAGAUUACAAUUGAAUGCAUCAUACGUAUAAUCAGUUCACAGUUCCACAUGUCCAAAAGGAGUAGGAAGAAGCAAAGCUUAUUAAAUCCUACCCCUCCAUCCGGUACUUUUACAAUCAGUAACUGUUACAUUUGUUCACUUCCUGCUUUCCUAAUAUAGUUUUUAUAUAGUUUCCCAAUAUAGUGCAUUGUUUGAUGUCCUUACUCAAUCCAUUCCAUAGUUUGAUUCCACAUACUGAAAUGCUAUGGCUUUUUAACGUUGUCCUAGCAUAUAAGUGUUUAAAAUGUAGUUCUUCCCUGAGAUCAUAUUUCUCCUCUCUUGUAGAGAAGUAUUGGAUGACAUUUUUAGGUAAUUGGUUAUUUUUAGCCUAAUGCAUUAUUUUAGCUGAACUAUAUCAGCAAGUUUAAGUAUUUGUGAUUUUAGAAAUAAGGAGUUAGUAUGUUCUCUGUAGGCGGCAUUAUGAAUUAUCCUUACUGGCCUUUUUUGCAGUAAUUUAGCAAGUGAAGGUUGCUUUUAUAGUUAUUAGCCCAUAUUUCCACACAAUAAGUAAGAUAUGUUAGAACCAGAUAGCAAUAAAGAGUGUGGCGUGAUUUCUGAUUGAGAACAAAUUUUGCUUUGUUCAAUACUGAAAUAUUUCUGGCCACCUUAUGUUGUAUAUUUGUAAUAUGAAUGAUGAAAAUGUGACUCCAGUAAACUGAUGAAACAUUUAGCUACAGCCGAGCUUACUGCGGAAAGCUGACGGAGAGAGCUGAAGCGUUCUUUCCAGGUUACAGCAGCCUUGCGGAAGGCUUCAUGGCGAAGGAUGAGCUGCUCAACCUCAUCGGUUUGGACCUGGGCUUCUCCUCCCUCCGUCUGCUUGGAGGUGAUCAGAGGCUCCUUGGCCUUCAGCCAGGCUUCUGCCUUUACGGUCUCUUGGGCAAACUGGAACCUUUCGAGUUCUGAAGAAGACAGGAGACCA